rnacentral:snRNA from 1 species
AUAAAUUCUCUUUAUGGGCGCCCCAAGUGGAGGCGGGUCAUUGCACUGCGAUCGGUUGAAGCUUGUCCCUACUGCAACCUGGGUAGGGUGGGUAUGUAAUUUGUGGUAGUGGGGUUAGGCGUUCGCGCCAGCGCCUC